rnacentral:rRNA from 3 species
AAAUUGAAGAGUUUGAUCAUGGCUCAGAUUGAACGCUGGCGGCAGGCCUAACACAUGCAAGUCGAGCGGUAGCACAGAGAGCUUGCUCUCGGGUGACGAGCGGCGGACGGGUGAGUAAUGUCUGGGAAACUGCCUGAUGGAGGGGGAUAACUACUGGAAACGGUAGCUAAUACCGCAUAAUGUCGCAAGACCAAAGUGGGGGACCUUCGGGCCUCAUGCCAUCAGAUGUGCCCAGAUGGGAUUAGCUAGUAGGUGGGGUAACGGCUCACCUAGGCGACGAUCCCUAGCUGGUCUGAGAGGAUGACCAGCCACACUGGAACUGAGACACGGUCCAGACUCCUACGGGAGGCAGCAGUGGGGAAUAUUGCACAAUGGGCGCAAGCCUGAUGCAGCCAUGCCGCGUGUGUGAAGAAGGCCUUCGGGUUGUAAAGCA